rnacentral:rRNA from 1 species
UGAGGAAUAUUGGUCAAUGGACGCAAGUCUGAACCAGCCAAGUAGCGUGCAGGAUGACGGCCCUAUGGGUUGUAAACUGCUUUUAUAUGGGAAUAAAGUGAGGGACGUGUCCCUUAUUGCAUGUACCAUAUGAAUAAGGACCGGCUAAUUCCGUGCCAGCAGCCGCGGUAAUACGGAAGGUCCAGGCGUUAUCCGGAUUUAUUGGGUUUAAAGGGAGCGUAGGCUGUUUGUUAAGCGUGUUGUGAAAUGUAGGAGCUCAACUUCUAGAUUGCAGCGCGAACUGUCAGACUUGAGUGCGCACAACGUAGGCGGAAUUCAUGGUGUAGCGGUGAAAUGCUUAGAUAUCAUGAAGAACUCCGAUUGCGAAGGCAGCUUACGGGAGCGCAACUGACGCUGAAGCUCGAAGGUGCGGGUAUCGAACAGG